UUUUUUUUUUUUUUUGGUUCUUUUUUUCGGAGCUGGGGACCGAACCCAGGGCCUUGCGCUUCCUAGGUAAGCGCUCUACCACUGAGCUAAAUCCCCAGCCCCAAACGUGAGCCUUCUUAUCUCAUCGUUUAUACCUUUUAAUAUUUGGGCACCGUUCCAAAAAGGACAAACAGCUUCAGCAGAGCCCAGAAGUGGUGUGCCUGGGAUUAGACUCAGUGAACGUGGGUCAGAAGAGCUUGUCUUGUGCUUUAAUUCAGCCCUCUACCAAGCAGAUGGCGUUCAGUGGAAUGUAUUCCCUCCUGUUGCAGAAGCACACGAAACUAGCUACCAAACUUAAAUGAAGUCAUGUUACAUGUGUGUGCCCACUGUACCUGACAGUUCAUGGUAAUUCUUGUGAGAACAAGGCCCCAAACAUGAUUAUACACCAUGGCUACUCCUCUAGCACAGGUAUCAGCACCAGGCUACCUAAACAGAUUCCCAAACCUCACAGUGAUGCAGACCCAACAGGGAGACCUGUUCAGGAUGCAACUGCCUCCGUGUCUGACCAGCCACAGAAUAAGACUUUGAGAUGUCAGAGAGUGAUCACCCACGGUCUCUCCAGAAAAUCCAGGCUUCGGGGACCUAAGGCGGAAUACAGCUCUCCUAGACUGUAAGGAACCCAUUUCCCCUGCUUAGAACCUUGUUUGUGCACACUAGGAAACAGCCCAAGUACAUGUUGAAAAACUCUGGCAGGAUGGGGUACAGCUCAGUAGAUAGAGCACUUGCCAAAUAUGUGCAAGAUCCACACUCCAAACAGAAACAGUAACACCACUGCGCACCUCCAGUGUCAGCACCACAGAGUUGGAGGCAGGAGAAUCAAAAGUUCUCCAACAUCCUUGGCUGCACCUCGAACUCAUGGUCAGACUGGGCUUCCUGAGACUUUGUCUCAACAAUAACAGUUAUGAUUAUACAGGAUGUGGAAAUGAAACGUUCCCAUAACUUACCGGCGGUAAUCCUAAGUCAUGGGCUUUUUGAAGAUGCUUUCCUUGAGCCUCAGGUAGAUGUCUUUGUGUGUGUGUGUGUGUGUGUGCACGUGUUCUCGUGUGAGCAUGCACAUGUGCAUGGAGGCCUUGGGGCACAGCCUUGGCUUUUCUUCCUGCUCUAGUGAUCACCAUAUAGGCUAGGCUGGGUGGCCACCGAGGACCGACCCACCUGUCACCUGUCUUUGCCUUUCUGGUGCUGAGAUUACAAGUGCCUGCUAUUAUACCUUUUGGGAGGUUGGGCAUGGUUUGAGACAGGGUCUGACUACAUAGUCCUGGUUGUCCUAGAACUUGCUAUGUAAAUCAAACUGGCCUCGUACUCAGAGAUCCACCUUCCUCUGCCUCCAGAGUUGCAUGAUUAAGAGUAUGCACCACCAUGCCUAGCUAGCUAUGCUUUGCUUUUUCCUACUCAGGUUUCGGGGAUAUCAAACCCUAACCCUAACCCUUCCUCACCCAAGGCAGGCACUGUACCGACGAAACCGUCAACCCUUGAGAGAGGUGUUUUUUCACCAACCACUUCCCCAUGGCACCUGGGAGAAUGUCCUCUCUGCCCUUUCUCUGGCCUGUCACUCCAGAGAUGGAACAACUCGUUACAAUGUCACCUCUCUGCUUCUCUGUUUAGUCACUUGGUUUGAUAUUCUAGAGGCCUGCAAAGGAACUCUCAGUCAUCUCGUCAGACUAUCAGCAGUGUCAUGUUGCUGGCUAAGCAGCGCCUUGGCAGACACUGCCCAUCCUGCGGCCUUUGUCACCUCCCCUGUGCACAGAAUCAUCUGACUCUCCUCCUAAGAGGAAGGAAUGCCAGUGUUAGUGGUACAGCUCGUCCCUCCUUCCCUGCAGAUAUAAAACAACAAGCAAGCCAGGGGAAAAGCCCAAAAGGCUUCAUAAGCUCAUAUAUUCUGAAGGUUCUUUAGGUGACUGAUUGGAAAGCAGGGUCAAAGGUCUCCUGAUGCUCAGAAGGCAGAAGGCUACAGGGAAGAGGGAGGCCCACCCUUUCUUAAAAAGUAACAUAAAAGAGAGGGCCGUACUCUGGGAGAAAGUGCCUGAUUGUUGACAUAUGAUGAGUAUGUGGUGUUUGUGGCUGUAGCACAGUGGGGUUUCCUGACAGCCUUGGGGCCCAGACCCUGGAUUCUGGGCAGCUCCCCUGUAAGGAUACCUGGGCACAGCUAAGAUUUCUUUUGGGGGAACUAGAGCUGGGCCUCUCCUCCCUGCUCCUGGGUCUCUGUACUCUUCUCAGUUCACACAUUUCUGUGAAGUUGUCUCUGAGGUAGGAUGGAGUCUCCUGACUGCUUGGUUCCAACAACUGGGCAGACCAGCUUGGGGGUCUUGAUACCUGAAGGUCGAGCUGGGCUGAAACUCCAGAGUUUCAGCUUUCAUGAGUCAGCACCCAGUCUAAGCUAGACAUCUCAGUGAUGUAGCUAGCUACCUGUGAGUCACCCCCAUUCCUGCAAGUAACCUGUGACCCCUGCAAACUCACAUGUUCACUAAGAUAGACUCAGUGAAAUUUCCUUUGGUCUGACAUUGUUACCCUCUCUGAAGCCAGUAGAUGUUUGUUUACAUUUUCCUUGGAAAAGUCACACAGAUGCCCUCACAGGGACUGAGGAAGCCAAAAUGAAUUCGGGAGGAGUGGUUGCAGGACCCUGCAGAGGGUUCUGAGUGUUCGCCUGAUUUGACAGAGUGUAGAGCAUCUGCGUCUGUGGAGGCAAUCCUAGUAUGGCUUCUUUUCCAUAACGAUGUGCUCCAUUGAUGUGGGGGUGACUGCAUGCUCUCUGCAGUGCACCAGUGGUGAGACACGAAACCAAAUCUAAGCUAUCCGAGAGUUGAUCUCCCUUGAGAGGAUGCCAGUGUGAGCAUCUUCCUCUAGAGCAGUGGCUCUCAGCUUUCCUAAUGCUCUGACCUUUAAUACACUUCCUCACAUUGUGGUGAUCCCCAACCAUACAUUCAUUUUUGUUGCCACUUCAUAACUGUAAUUUUGCUAUAGGCACAAUUUUUUUUUUUUGAUUCUUUUUUUUCGGAGCUGGGGACUGAACCCAGGGCCUUGCGCUUCCUAGGUAAGCGCUCUACCACUGAGCUAAAUCCCCAGCCCCUAGGCACAAUUUUUUAACACACUUUAAAGUGUACCCUUGUGUCAUUCAGAUGACAAUUUCUCUGCCCUUGUUUCAACCCAGACAUGGCACUGUAAUGCUUAUACCAAGAAUCUCCUGUCUCAAGUUUAUGUAAACAGCUCUUACCAUCUAUUCUCUGCCUUGUUAAUAAAGGCUGAUCACCCAAUGGCUGGACAGAAUGGCGAAUAGAGCAGGACAUAGGCCAACCAGAGCGGAAGAGAAUUGAACUCAGGACCUCUGGAAGAGCAGUCAGUGCUCUUAACUGCUAAGCCAUCUCUCCACACCCCCUCCUCACCCCCGAAGACUUUUAAACAAGGAUAAAACAGCUUCUUUCAGCUGGGUUCAGGAAGCUGUGGAUAGGGGAGGGAGAGGGCGGGGAUACAGGAGGGAGUGGGCGGUAUCAGCCCAGUGCAGGGAAGGCAGAGAAACUAAGCAAUACAACCUCUCAUCUCUCCUUGAGACAAAGGCCACACAGUGGAAGGGGACUCUGUCCCUGGUGCUUCCUUGAGCCAUCAGGUACAGGGAUUAGAGGACAUCAGGGAACAGACAGGCUGAGGAAAUUAAGCAUGAAGACAGCAUUUAAUUCCCAGUUCACCAGACCUGACUAAUUGUCAAAUACCUUGGAUUUGGUAAAGAGCUUCGGAAGUCUUACUGAACCCCAUGGGAAGGGGGGAGCUGUAGAAGAAAGGAGAGGUUCUGGAAAGUCUGUAGGAUUUGGACAGACAUUGUAAAUGAGAUUUGUAAAGUAUUAAGUCAAAGGAAGUUGGAAGAACAAAGCAGCUGUCUGGUUACUCAAAGGCAGAUGCGGCAUGGCUUAUAAGGACGCAAACGCUGUGCGAGUGACCUUCUGGGAGGCCUUGUGGCCUGAGCAAGAGAAGAGAUAAAUGACAAAAUAGCACAGGUGAACAACAUUAAGCGCGACUUAGUAAUGGACAGUUAGCUCAUGAGUAUGCAGUGUGCAUUUAUCCUUGGCAUGAAGUAUAGUGAGGGAGAGAGUAUUCAGCCUGAGGUUCUUUUAAGCAGCUGGUGUAGCUGACUGCAAUAUGGCAAGGACCAUGAUACUAGCUGGGAGCUGUCAAAAACUAAGGAACUGGCUCUAGAGACAAAUAUGGUAAACGAGUAUGUCCCUGAGCCAGGUUGAUCAGCACUGGCUGGUCCAACUGCCACCAGGAUGGAGAGACAUGUAAUAGUAACUUUUAUUUGCCUGAAGUAAUUGUUGUCUUGGAGGCUUACUGCUAACCUGGGCCUAGUCCUGGAAGCUUCCAGCCUCUGUGCAAUCUUAUCUAGACCUAGGAUGUUUUCAGCCUCUGAGAGUUGCUGCUGAAUAAGUUCAUCCCUUCCUAGUUCCUUUGAACUCUGGCUGGCUGGUUCAACUCAGCUGUUCUGCCUCAAACUCCUUUCCCAGCUGACUGAUUCAAUCUGGCUUCUCUCUCUGCCUCUGACUUUUUGUUCUGCUUGACUAAUUUGGCAUUCAAACUAAUUCGGGCAAUCUGUUCUAAUCUUUUGGUUCCUUCUCACUCUCUGGCUCAUUUUGUCUUCACCUAUGUCUAGCUUGUUCUCUCUCUGCAAUCUGUCUCUGAACAACUGUCUUGUAAACCUGCCCCUCCUCUUUCCUUUUUCUCCCUGUUCUCAUCAGAGUUGAACAUUAUCUUAUUCUGUCAAGUCUUUCUCUGAUCCAUCACUUUGUCUGCCCCUCAAUUAGACAUCACUUUCAAACAUGGCUGCUUCUUUUUACAAACUAACUUUACCUUCACUGUUUAGGAUUAAAGGGUGUGUACUAAGGACUGAGCCAAACAACUAGAAAAAUGGGUUUCCAGUAAACACAAUCUUGAGGUGUUCAAGAUUUGAUCACCAUUUUUGUAUAAAUAAAAAGGGAAGAUUUUUAUCUCUACCACAGUAAAGCUAUUUCAACAGACACAAUUAUCAAUCCUACACAUUUAACAGUCUGAAUGUCCUUAGGAAGAUCCCCAAUGCCAUGAUCCUUUUUCACUGCAGCCUUUGUCAUCUGACCCCUGCAUGAGUCUAUUCAGCAUCACGGUUUUCAGUCUGCCAGUCUGAUGAACAAUUUUUUUUUUUCAGCCACUUUGUCGAGCUGUCCCAGGCAGGGGUUGGGGGGUGGGAGACGGCUUUCUUGUCUGCAUUGCUGUCCUUCUGAGUACUUGGAUCAAAUCUUUAACUCAUUCCCUGACCUCCAUUCUGAUACUAAAAUAUCUUUAAAGUACACAGGUUGAUCUAAUUCAGUAGUUCUUUUUCCUCUGUAAUCCAGUGUCUUCCAGCUAAUCUUAUUUCCCAUUCUGCUUAUCAAGGAACAACUAGAUCUUUAGAAAUCUGAAUGUAGACAUUUAGGCAUUGCAUACUCAGCUCCACCCCGGUGAGCCAGGCUUCAUACUCAUUGGCCAAGGGCUGUCUAUCUUGAUUCUCAAUUUCAUUAGGUAACACAGAGUCACAAUUAAGCACAUCCUGUUCUCUUCUUUCCUCUGUCUCUUGAAUCUUAAGCCUUUGUAUUAUUAUAGCUAUCUUUUCUUGUAUAGCUAUUUUUCAAUGUUUUUUUUUUUGAAAGAGAAAAUAUAAAGAUUACAACUGAAAUUAGGGAGGGGUUUACUCCAGUGGUUAAAAUUGCAAUGAGUCCUUCAAUGGCCUUUUCAAGUGAUGUUUCAAACAUCCUGGUUCCUACCCUUGCUCUCAAGGGAUCUGAAAUGGAGUUUCCCACUUUUUCUAAUACAGGAAGAGUCUGUCUACAUAAUUAAAAUUAUCUUUGGGGGUGGCUUACUGUGAUUUGCUGUCUCAGAGGGUCCUGUGUUUUCCCUCGUUCUGGGCUCGAGGCUCCUACCAGUUCAGUCUUCCAGGUCUCUCCAUAUCCAGAUGAAGUCAAAGAAUGCUUCCCAGCCAAUCUCCUCUGCAGCUUUCUCUCAGAUGUGAUGAUUCGUAUAUGCUUGGCCCAGGGAAUGGCACUAUUAGAUGGUGUGGCUCUGUUGAAGUAGGUGUGCCAUGGCAGAUGGGUUUAGACCCAUCACCCUGGCUGCGUGGAAGUCAGUCUGCCACUAGCAGCCUUCAGAUGAAGAUGGAGAACUCCUGGCUCCUCCUGCACUAUGCCUACCUAGACGCUGCCACGCUCCCACCUUGAUGAUAAUGGACUGAACCUCUGAACCUGUAAGCCAGCCCCAAAUAUAUGUUGUCCUUUGUAAGACUUGCCUUGGUCAUGGUGUUUGUUUACAGCAGUAAAACCCCAACUAAAAUAGAAGUCUCAUGUCCUCUGUGACAUUUCUGUCCAAUGACCUUUGCUUUCUGCAACGUUGGUGGGCUUUGUCCUUCUCCAAUUAUGUUGGGUGCUCCUUCUAACCACAUUGGUUGGGAGUUGUAAAAUUAUCUUUUAUCAGGUGUUUUAACUGUCAUCUCAGACGUUUACUGCCUGUCUAACCCAGGCCGAGUCCUGGAAGCUUCUGGCCUCUGGAUAAUCUUGUCUAGGCCUAGAAUGAUUUCGGCACCCGAGACUUACUGAAUAAACCCACCCUUUCUAACCCUUUCUGACUCUGGCUGACCAGAUCAGCUCAACUGAUCUGGCUCUAAACCCUUCUCUAAGCUGGCUUCUCUAGGAUUCUCACUGAAUUGCUGCUGGACCUCAUACUCCUGGCUCCUUCUUACCCUCUGGCUCCUUCUGUCUUCACCCGUGUCUAGCCUGGUCUCUUUGUGCAACCUGUCACAGUAAUACUGCCUCUGCCUCCUCUGUGCUGCCCUCUUAGGUCGCCUCUCUGCUCUCUGUGCUGCUGAGAGUUGGUCAUGUCCUAUUCUGUCAGAUGUUUCUCUGAUUGUCACUUUGUCUGCCUCUCAAUUAGACAUCAAGAGACCAGAUCUUGGGUUCAGACUCCACCUUAAAGAACCUGACCUAAGGUUGAACUUGAGUUAACCAACAAGCCAACACCUCGCACCAUGUUCCAGGUUACUCUAACUAGUCUGCCCCGACACUUUACUUCCUAACAACCAGCAAUGCAGAGGAAAGCAGAAGUUAAGUUUAUGGUUUGGCUCCCAGCACCAGAAAAUUAUGUAAAAAGGCAACAAAAUUCCAUGAUGGCCCCCAAUCAAAUGUGUGCCAGGCUAGAAACCCACUGCUUGUUUGCUUUCCUCCCAUUCUGCUGCAUCAGAGACAGCAGUGUGGCCCAAGCUCGCUCGAGCUUGAAUAAAGACCCCAGUGUGAGUGCAUCACUGGGAAAACCCUUUAGUGCUGGCUUAGGGUUCCACUGCUGGGAACAGACACCAUGACCAGGGCAACUCUUAGAAAGGACAACAUUUAAUUGGGGCUGACUUACAGGUUCAGAGGUUCAGUCUGAAUCAUCAUGACAGAAAGCAUAGCAGCAUGCAGGCAGACAUGGUGCUGGAGGAGUCAAGAGUUCCACAUCUUGAUCCACAGGCAGCAGGAGACUCUGGGAGUAGCUUGAGCAUAGGAGACCUCAAAGCCCUCACUCAUAGUGGUGCACUUCCUCCAAAGACGCCACACACUUCCUCAUAGUGGCACUCCCUAUGGGCCAAGUACUCAAACACAUGAUCCUAUGGGGGUCAUACCUGCUGAGUAGCUAAUAGGUUUGCAAAAGUAUGUGGAAAGCCAGUAAAGACAGAGAACCAACUCCCAUAAGGUAUCCUCUGACCAUCUCUCUCUCUCUCUCUCUCUCUCUCUCUCUCUCUCUCUCACACACACACACACACACACACACACACACACACACACACACACACACACACACACAGAGUCACUGCCACACUUUCCUGGAAAUGUCGCCUCACUUUCCCCAGUGCUUUUCCCUCAAGUGUCUUGCUUUUCUCGAAUACUGGCAAGUGACUAACCAGACAUGCCCACGUGCUGCCCACUGACUUCCCUAGUGACUGUGAUGAUAGCUGAAGGUGGAGGAGAACCAAAGACUCCAUUUCCCAGCCUCCUUCAGCUACCUGUGGCUGCAUGGCUCCUCAUCAGCAGAUUUUAGGCUAUGAUGGUGUAGCAAACUUCUCUACAGUGGCUGAGUAAUGGUGGCUGGGUUUCUAUCUCAUCUGAGACCAUGCCGUGACCUUGUGGGUGGACACACGCGCAGAUGGAGCAGACAGGAUCUCUCUGUAGCCCUGGCUGUCCUGGAACUCGUUCUUAGACCAGACUGGCCACAAACUCACAGUGGUCAGCCUGCCUGUGCUUUGAGGCUCUCUUAGAUAACUCAGCCUAUGCAACAUCGUUACUGCCCUGGCUUUCUUGUGAGACCCUGAGCAACAAGACUGUCUCCCCACCUGCCACCAGGGUCUGUUACAGAGCUCCACCAUUGUUGACCCAGCACUUAAACUGGGGCCCACGAGGUUCCUUCUUGGCAUACUGACCAGGACAGUCUUAAAUCUGUGCUUCUGGAACCUAGUACAGGGUCUACCAUUGCCCUCAAACUCCUGGAACUAAGGAGUCCAGUGGUGAAGCAUUUACCCAGCAUACUCAUGGCCCUGGGAUUAAUCCCCAAUGCUAAGAGACUCAAGUUUUCCUGAAGAGAAUACUCAAAGUUAUGUACCUAAAAGUAGAGUCACUGGGUUACCACCCUCCCAGUGGGUGUUUUUGAGGGCUUCUCCCCUAGAGCCUGAGGCUUCAUAUUAUCAUAGGCAUCUUCCUGAAAGAUGGUCCAGGGAUAUCCUCGAAUGAUAACCCACUAAGAUUAAAGACGCUUCAUUGGAGAAACUGCUGUUUAAUCAUUUUAUACAGCUUGAAGACUUGCUUUGACUGCCUUACAGGAUGCUGUAUUUUUCUAGAGGGAGGGAGGGAUGGAGGGAGGGAAGAGAGGAGGGGAAGGGGAGGGAGAGGGGAAUAGAGGGGAAGAGAGAGGCUAACCAGAGGUCUGCAUCAGAUGCCUUUCUCAAUCACCUGGUUUUUGCUACAGGGUCUCUCACUGAACCUGAACCUGGAGCUGCCAGAGAGCUUCAGGAAUGACCAGAGCUGGGACUACUAGAGACUUCUACAUCAGUCAACUUUAGGGAGCAUUUAGAUCACCCAGGAAAUCGAUUCCACUUGAUGUAGCAUCUCUUGGAAACUUAGAAAAGCACACCCACACAAGCUGGCUUGAGAGGCGAGGCACGGUGAAGCAUACUCCCAUGUGUAUCUGGAUACAACACAAGGAGAACACAAAGCGACUGAAGUUUAUUGCCGUCUUCGCUCUCCCAGGGUCGCCAUACCAUGAAGUAGCUACAGAGUGCAGCCCUCCUCUAUUUCUCUUUAAUGCCAUCUUACCACGGGCAUCUAAAGCAACAGCAGCAGCUACAAAACGGUGUCUGAGUAAUUCUGAGUUCAAAACAAGAUCUGUGUACAGGCAGAAUAAAAAGAUGUUCAAUUAACAGUGUGCAUGUAACCGGAACAAAACAUCUUCGACUGGGAGUUCUGUGUAAACCUUAAUAGAGAUGCGACUCACAGAGACCAACAUUAAAUUCUUGUUUCCUUUUA